AUCCUGGCUCAGAACGAACGUUAGCGGCGCGCUUAACACAUGCAAGUCGCACGAGAAAGGGCUUCGGCCCCGGUACAGUGGCGCACGGGUGAGUAACACGUGGGUAACCUUCCCUCUCGCGGGGGAUAACCUUCCGAAAGGAGGGCUAAUACCGCAUAAGACCACGGGCUGUGAUGCCUGAGGUUAAAGCAGGCCUCUUCAUGAAAGCUUGCACGAGAGGAUGGGUCCGCGGCGCAUCAGGUAGUUGGUAGGGUAAUGGCCUACCAAGCCUAAGACGCGUAGCUGGUCUGAGAGGAUGAUCAGCCACACUGGAACUGAGACACGGUCCAGACUCCUACGGGAGGCAGCAGUGGGGAAUCUUGCGCAAUGGACGAAAGUCUGACGCAGCGACGCCGCGUGGGUGAUGAAGGCCUUCGGGUUGUAAAGCCCUGUGGGGAGGGACGAAUAAGUGCUGGUCUAACAUCCAGCGCGAUGACGGUACCUCCUUAGCAAGCACCGGCUAA
rnacentral:rRNA from 1 species